GGACAAAUUCUGAUUUUUUAGUUUAAAGUAAAAGACGAGCGUAGUGUCUAGUUUGCAGAGACACGGAAGCAGUGAUGAAAAGUCAAAAUCUCAGCACCAUUGCAGCUGGAGCCGUGCAGUUCAUCUGGAUGAGCCUUGAAGUCUUGAGUGAAGUCAACACUCUCUCUCCGGUGGAGUUCGGCGACGAACGAGCAGCUUUCACGAGACCACGUUCUGACAAGGAACAAUGUUACACGGGAAAGGCUUUUUGCGGGCGAGCGAGUUCGCGGCUACGAAGCUGAAACUUCAAUCAGAAGGAGAAUUUUGUGGAGGGGUCUUGUUGCCGCAGUGGAGCUGCUGGGACCGGACAGAGUCGAUCUGUUCUGAAGUGUCAUUUUGUCUCCAAGACCCAUCAUGGAGCAGAUUAGUAGAAAAUUGUGAGAGCGAAGGGCACAAGAAAUGUCCCGUCUUGUCUUUGGCCUAAGAUGAAACAACAGACAUUAACAAAUACAGACCAACCAAUCCGGUGUGUGCGUGUGCGUGGGAUCACUCCUGAGGGAUUACUGUGUUUAUGCCGCUACCAAAGGAAGUUAUUUCGACUAUCAACAAAUUUGAACAACCAUUUGAAGUGAUUUAACUUCAUGCCCCUCUAUCAAACAUCACGAUGGUCUGAGCGAAAAUUCCCUGAAGCUCAACAAAUAUAAUGACAACUCUUGUUUCCCACCCCCCAUAACCUUCAUCAGAGACAGUCACCAGUUCAGGGAGCUAUCCUGGGAACGCGCGAGACGCAGGACGGAUAUCUGGUUGACCAUUGUGAGGAGCGGCGGCUGAGUCACGCAAAAUGUGCUCACACGGUUUUUAUAAACCGAGGGGAGGAAGUGAAACAAUUCAGGGAGAUGAACGGAAAAAGCCGUCAUGGAACUCAGUGAAAGCAAAAACGCCUGUGUGAUUUGGCCCUUCGUGGCGGAUAUUUCCAAAUACCUCUCGGAGCUGAGCGUCAGGCUGCAAGGCCCCGACUCGGGCUCUCUGCUUUCAAACGUGAAAUCAUCUGAGGCUUCGGAGAGAGCAACUUCCCUACUCUGAGCCUGCUACAGGACAUCUGAAUAUACAGUUUGCAAACUCCUUCAGGCAUGCGGGGAGAGAGGUGUCAGGACGUGCAAAGUAAACAAAAAGGAACUGAACAUGUUUGUUAAGCUGUUUAAUGUGGAACCAGCUGAUGUGACUGAAAACCUACAGCAUAAAAUCAUUAAGCCGUAAAGCAACGAUAUAAGGCUCGAUGCCGCGGACAACAACCUCCCUCUGCUCGAAACUGACACCUUGCAAAGACGCCGUGAGUUCAAGACUGGUAAAACCGUCUGCGAGUAGCAUCAUCAUCACUACCAUCUGACAUCACACGCCUCACCAAAGAGAAGCGGUCUGAGAGACCAAGAACAAGAGUGGAUCGAUCAAAGCUCAGCUGUGGAAAAGGAAGAAGAUACGGGGACAAGAUGAGGAGACUGAGAGAGAGAGAAAGAGACAAGGCGAUGGGAGGUGAGAGAGGAAGAGCAGGAACUGCCCACUGUGCCCAGGAUAAGAUCAGCAUCUUCUCCUCAACACAAACUUAGCAUAUAAAUAUAUAAUGUUGUAUUACUUUAUAAAUAUAUUUAGUACAAAAACACAUUUGCAGGGGUUUUUCGACUAAAUGUUAAACCCUAUUUCCCGUUCUCCUUAAGUGAAUCACGGAGGCUAAAGGUGAAUGUUUUGAUUUGCAAUGUGCAGAGGCUCGUUGACCUUAUCAGAAAGUUCGUAUGGGGGGGACAAUUUUAAUGCGGCUAUUCAGUUCAUCAAAAGUCACGGGUCCUUUGCUAAUCAAUCCUUUCAGAUACAAAACACAGAGGGCCGCUGCGCUUCAGCGGGAUAAAGAGUGUGUUGUCCACUGUACCAGAAGGUCACUGGUUGAAAUCUAUGGCAGCUCAAGUCCUCCGCAUGCUGUGCUCUGUAGUUGGUUUAUGUAUGAUGGGAAAAGUGCUGCAUAUAGAAGAGUAGUAUGAAUGUGUGAAUGUGACUUUGAGUGGAUGUGAAAUUUAGUCAAAUUUAAAAUACAGCCAGGAAAAUAUCUGGGGGAAACCCAGCAUUUCGAUGGCAGUAGGACAAAUCCUUUACGUUGGCACAACUUUCAUACAGUUAGAAUUAAUUAUUUGUAUGCCAAAAUCUAAAUUAUAUGUUUUUAUAACUAUGAAAGAUAAAUGAUCUGAACUUUUCUUAAAAAGUUAUGAGUUUGAAUUAAGUUGCCUUCAAUUUUUUUCAUUCAUUACAGGAUGAUGGGGGCAAAAUCAACUAGAAAUGCUAAAGACAGGCAUGAGAAGAGUUAAAAGAGUUGUGACUGAUCCUGUUAUUAUUACCUUGACUAAGAAUGAUCCUGAAACCUCUUUAAUCAUCCGGCUGAGAAGACAGAAGGCUGAUGCAUUCAGAGAAACACGAACGGGGCUGGCAGGUCUAAAUGUUCUGAGUAAUCAAAGAACCAGGACACACGCAACUCUUCUGAGAAUCAUGAAGACCCACAUCUGGGGGGGGGGACCUGUCUUGCCGAACCUCAAUGUAAAAAUCUGUCAAUUUAAGAUUGAUUGGCUCUUCAGCUAAAGUGAACACUUGAAGAGGGGGGAAAAAAUAAAACCCUAUGAUUAAA